rnacentral:rRNA from 1 species
GACGAACGCUGGCGGCGUGCUUAACACAUGCAAGUCGAACGGAAAGGCCCUGCUUUUGUGGGGUUCUCGAGUGGCGAACGGGUGAGUAACACGUGAGUAACCUGCCCUUGACUUUGGGAUAACUUCAGGAAACUGGGGCUAAUACCGGAUAGGAUCUCCUGCUGCAUGGUGGGGGUUGGAAAGUUUCGGCGGUUGGGGAUGGACUCGCGGCUUAUCAGCUUGUUGGUGGGGUAGUGGCUUACCAAGGCUUUGACGGGUAGCCGGCCUGAGAGGGUGACCGGCCACAUUGGGACUGAGAUACGGACCAGACUCCUACGGGAGGCAGCAGUGGGGAAUAUUGCAGAAUGGGCGGAAGUCUGAUGCAGCGACGCCGCGUGCGGGAUGACCGCCUUCGGGUUGUAAACCGCUUUCGCCUGUGACGAAGCGUGAGUGACGGUAAUGGGUAAAGAAGCACCGGCUAACUACGUG